GACGAACGCUGGCGGCGUGCUUAACACAUGCAAGUCGAACGGAAAGGCCCUGCUUGCAGGGUCCUCGAGUGGCGAACGGGUGAGUAACACGUGGGUGAUCUGCCCUGCACUUCGGGAUAAGCCUGGGAAACUGGGUCUAAUACCGGAUAGGAGCCAUUUUUAGUGUGAUGGUUGGAAAGUUUUUUCGGUGUGGGAUGAGCUCGCGGCCUAUCAGCUUGUUGGUGGGGUAAUGGCCUACCAAGGCGGCGACGGGUAGCCGGCCUGAGAGGGUGGACGGCCACAUUGGGCCUGGGGAGGGCCCAGGACUCCAUCGGGGGGAAGAGGGGGGAAACUGUGGCAAAUGGGCCGAGGCCGUGGUGACGGCCCCCGGGUGGUGGAGGCCGGCCUUUGGGUUGAAAACUCCUUCCGCCGGGGACGAAGCUUUUUUGACGGUACCCAAAAAAAAAAGCACGGCUAACUUCGGG
rnacentral:rRNA from 1 species